AAACUUUUGUUAUUUUAAAAGUUAAUUAAUAAAAGUCAAAGAUGUGAGUUGUUUGUUGGGUUAUUAAUACCUAAUGUGGUGUUUUUACAUGAUGAGUUGUUCCAUUUCCUCUGAGUCUUUCUUUCUUCUGUCUCUCUGCUCUGGUCUUUUUUUUUUUCUUUUUCUUUGUCCAUUUUCGUUUCACACUCGGCCUCUUCUCUCUGCGGCUGCUUCUCCAGGCUUGUGGUUGUCUGCUGGGGCUGCUGCACUCCUUUUGUCAGAGAAUGCUGCUGAGUGUCUAUUGAAGAAGGGAGAAGCCCUGACUCUGGGCUCUCUCCUGCUUGGCAUUAACCAGGCAUGACCCACAUUUAUAUAUAUAUAUCUAUAUAUAUCUGCAUAUAUAUGCGCAUUCUGUACAUACGGUGCAGAGCGGAGAUGCUCCUUCACAGUGACAAGUGAAAAUAUGUUCUUAAGAGGAGCUUGUUGAAAAACGAGAGAAGAGAGGCUGUGCUUUUGCUCUAAACGCCCUGAGAUGUUUUGAAGAAAAUACGCAAUGAAAGUGUUUGCCAGAGUUAUUAUAGUUCUGAGAUUUUCAUCAGUUUUUUUCUGCGUAUUUUGGUUUAAUAAUUUUAAUUUCAUUUUAGUUUCAGUAGUGCAUGAAAAGUUUUAAUUUUAAUUUUGAUUUAUAUUCAGGAAUUGUUUAGUUUUAGUUUAGCCUUAGUUUGUAUUUUUCAGUUAUUCUCUUAUACGAAAGAAUGCAAAAAGAAUGGUCACAGCCACGUUGAACCGCUAACACAGAGGAAAAAUUAAGAAGAAAACCAUUUUACCUGCGUUUGUUUUGUUUUCAUUUAUGCUUCAUUGGUUAUUUUUGUUUUUGUAUUAUUUAGUUUUGUUAUGGGAAUGUUAUUUUAUUUCAUUAUUUAGUUUUGUUAUGGGGCUGUUAUUUAAUUUUUUAUCCAGCUUAAGUGUUUUUCCUCUGCUUGUUUCAGCUUUAGUUUCCAUUAACUAUAAUAACCCUGGUGUGUGAGUCACACUGUGAAAUGUCAUCUUUCACAGA